rnacentral:misc_RNA from 1 species
AAGUCGUAACAAGGUUUCCGUAGGUGAACCUGCGGAAGGAUCAUUAUUGAAUGAAUGUAGAGUUGUGCUGUCGCUGGCUGGAUGGAUUAAUUUCUGUUCAGCAUGUGCACGCCUGCUCUUUCAUCCACACACACCUGUGCACUUGUGAGACUGAGGACUUGUAAAAAAGGUCUUCAGUCUACUUAAUACAAACUCCAUUUAAUUAAACUGAAUGUAAUUGAUGUAACGCAUCAUUAGAACUAAGUUUCAACAACGGAUCUCUUGGCUCUC